AGCAUCCGGUGCCCUGCAGCUUUGCGGGGAUAAUAGGGAAGCAGGUCAGAAUCCUGCGCGAUCCCGUCACUGUGAUAGAACGUGUAAGCCCAUUAUGUCACUGGGAGUUUAACGACCCCGGGAAGGCGGACUUACAUGCUAUGUUCUUAAGCCAGGAGACCUGCCGGUGCUU
rnacentral:ncRNA from 1 species